UUCUGCCUCUGUCGUCUCUCUCGCUGGCUUUUUUUUUUUUUUUUUUAAUGAAGAACCGUUCCAUGAACAUUUUGCACAGAGCACAGAAUUGCUUCUAAAGUCAGUCCGGCGCGGUUGCAAUAGACAGCAAAAAGGUAAACGUUUGCCUGAAAUCCGCACGCCAGCUCCACCACCCCGCCCGAUGGUUCUGUAACAAUCAAGAAUGUGUGGACACCUACCUGUGGGAGGAGGCUUUCAGGGACAUUGUGUCUGGUUCCUGCUGACGCCAGCAUUCUGGAGAUGGACAGCUGUUCAAGGGAAUGAAGAUUCCCCCACAGGACAAGGACUAUUGCCUCCCUGAGUAUCCUAAAAGGUCUCUUGAAACAAACCAAACACUCAGAACUUCUGUGACUGUCAUGGACAGUGUCCUGUUACUGGCUUUAAACAGAGCCCCUCAUGCAGAAGAAGCCCUGUAUCCUGGAGUUAGAUGUCAAUCAUCCUGGGAAGGCUCGUCCAAGAACGCAUGCUUAGAAGAAAACUGUUUUAGGCAUCAUCAUCUAUCACGUGGAUGUCUCUGCCCAGUCCUCCCUUUCCACAAUCACCAACAAUGAAGCCCCAACGCGGGGAGUCCCCGAGUAGCCCCCAAUGCACACACCUGCUGCACGACGUGGGAGGAGCUUUUCUGUGGGAGCCGAGGCCACACACAGGACCCUGGGGAAGAACUCCCAAAGAGACUUACUUUUACGGAAGCCUGUGAUCCUUUAAGAAUGACCAACAGUGCAAAUCAAGUCAAAAGACUUAGAUGCUCUCUCCACUACUCCAUCUCCAGCACCUAGAACAGGUAGAGUAUGUAACUGAUGACUGACUGAAUGGCCCUGGGGAGAGAUUCACAAGAUCACUAUGGGGGGGGAGGUGGGCAGAAGGGAAUGUAAGGAUAGGGAGGUGUGUGCCAAGGUGUUGCUGGCAAUGUUGUGUGCAAAAGAAGAUAAGAUCUCUUGUUGACUGUUGUAAAAAGAAGAUGAACGAAGUGUUGUGUUCAAAUGAGUCCAGUUGAGUGUACCACAGACAAUGAUUGACUUCUUCCCAGUCCCUCACGGGGUAGUAUAGUUUGAGAGGUUUACAUUAAGCUUAUCCCCUCAGAGGCCCUCAGAGGAGGCAAUGAAUAGAUUUGCAAGGAAAAACAACAACAACAACAACAACAACAACAACAACAACAAUAAUAACAACAGGGACCCCACAUGCAAUUCAGGGGAAGUACUUUGAAGCAUUUCAAGGAAGACUCUGAGAAAUGAUAAUAAAGUUUAACGGGAAGGAAUAUUAACUGAUAUGAUUUUCUUCCAAGAAGCAAUUUUGGAUAUAAUAUUUCAAGCUCUAAGUUACAAACUCAGUGACUAGACCUUGAAUGCUUUUAUUUGUGUCUUGGGGUUUCUGUUCCUUCAAUUGAAAAAGAAAAUUAUUAAGAUGAUUUUUUUUCCAGAAAGAUUAAUGGGUAUAGCAUUGGCUGACCAGUUUCCAUAAAACUAUAGUAGCAUAGAAUCACCUAGAUUAAGAACUAGGUUUAAAUCCUGGGACGGCUUAGUAAUACCAGUGCUCAAUUAAAAAUUCCGUAGCAUUGAUUUGAUGAAGAAAAACGUCAUGGUAUGACUGCAACUUUCCCUUCCAGUUGUUAUUGGACACGUUAAUGGAGGGAUGUCCUACAUAGGCUUUGGCAGUCAGAAGGCCAGUUCUCAAAUUAAAAUGAAGUUUCAAAUCCGAGCAUAGGGACAAAAUAAUUUACUUGAAGGGUAACAAAGGAGGUUCUUGCCUAAAAAUAAAUGUGAUAGAUUUGGCUUCAAUGUUAGGUGGCACUUCUUUAUAAUUUUUGUAAACCUGAAAUCUUUCAUAAUUCACACAGAUAGAAAUGCUAGCCACUUGAAGGUGAAAAAUGGUACUGUAUUUUAUUUUACAUUCUCAAUGUCUAGCACCUGUUUCUUGGUAUGUAAACAAUCUAUUUAACUGUUUUUGAAAGAGCAGACUAAAAAUAUUUUGUCAAUGUGUGUGUGUGUGUGUGUGUGUGUGUGUGUGUGUGUGUGUGUGUGGUGUAUGCAUGUGUGGUAUAUGUGUACAUAUGUGGGCAGAUGCAGAGGCCACAGGAGGACAUUGGGUGUCAUGUUCUAUCUUUUGAGACAGGACUUCUCAUUGAAUGUGGGGCUAGGCUGACAGUCAUCAAGCCCCAUUCAUUCUCUCUCUCUCUCUCUCUCUCUCUCUCUCUCUCUCUCUCUCUCUCUCUCUCUCGUGCUGAUACACACUGAACUCCUAAUCCAAAUCCAAGUUGUUAAUUUUUGACAGAGUCGCAGAAUGUGAUGUCUUGCUGUGCACACCCUUCCGAUAACGAGCCCAGCAUAAAAAGAAAGCAUGACCCUAGACGUGGAGUGAAUGGAGUGUGCAGGUUCCGACGAGUUCACUGCGGCUCCAGUGGGGAUCGGGCAGGCUCCAAGCACUAAAUAACCCUAAUGAUAUCAGGACUGGUCCUGCUUGCUCCAUCUACACACUGUUGGUUAACAGUGGACCCUCUGACUCUCAUGAGGAUGACUGGACAUGUGACAGAAGACCAGGAGUCCGGGAGGCUGCCCUUUCCUGCUUUAACUUUGUUCUGUCAGAAUUGAUAAGAUUUCGAUUUCCAGUUAAAACCCGCCAUCGGGUGUUCAGCAGGACAGUGAAAGAACGCCCGGCACACUGAACCAACAGUCAGAGGUUGAACCUACCAGCAAAGCUGGCUCUGAUGGACAAACGCUUCCUAGGGCUCCUUCCUGAUGCAGCUGCUAUCUGCAGACCUCCUGGACUGCCCUGGGAAGGGAGUGGGAGCUCCUGCCACAGAUGGGCGGAACAUCGGCAAGAAGGGUUAAAAGUGGCCAAAAAUAACAGUGCCUUCCAGAUGAGGUGACCUCAGAGCCAAGAGCAUCAUGGGCUAGUGGCCUGCCAAUCACAGGACAUCAGCAUGCGCAGAGCCCAGCAUCUUCUCCAGGUUCAGCUUUUACAUCUUCCUUUGGAGGGCCUACUCCGAUCUCAGGACCGCAGGUGAGGUGCUAUCUUUGGUAAGCAUUUUCUCCGUCUAGUCACCACUAAAAGCACUUUUCAUCUGGACCUUUAGUCUCUGAAUACCAACCAGGGUGGAAGUCACCUUUAAUCCUCACAGAGGUUGAGUUUCUUUCCUCUUAGUACAAAGCCACAUAUAUCCACUGUGGAGAAUUUAGAACACACAGAAAAGCAAAAUUAUAUUUGUGUGCACCAUGACUACCCUUUGAUGUGGGCCCUGCUCGAUAUGAUGAUUUUUAUAGACAAAACCCAGCCACACUUAGAUGGGAAAUACUUUCUUCUGAGCUGCUUGCUGGCUGGUAGAACCAGUUCCAUGGAAUGUCAGUGCCAGGCCCCAGCUGAUUGGCAUAGGGCUGGCUAUCGCCCUGGUUGGGCAUGUAUCUGCUCUUUCUUUCAGAUUCAAUCAGAUAGUGUCUGAGACUGGACCUAUAAUAUCUCACUGAGGUAGGAUUAGUCACUGUGCCUGGAAACUUAGCGCUUUGCUGGGGAAGGUGGUUUGUAGGAGAGAAUAGGGGAGACUGUGAGACACUGAGGGAAAGUCAGAGUUAAAGGAAGCAGAACACCACACACCUGGUCCCAGUGUUCUCCGUGACUUUUCUCAGGUGGCCUUGCCUCCGGAUCUUGACUCUGUCCUUGAGCAGUGUCUCUGAGAUGCCGGUACCUGCAUCUAACCAUGCCUGCCCAAGAGGAUUGCUUUUUGUAAACUCCCUUUGCAAUGAAUAAUAGACUUUCUCUGUGUAUCAUCUGAUCAUCCAGAUUAUAAUUUUCAAUAUGGUAGGUCAAGUGCUGUGGGGGGAGGGGCACUGCAGCUAAUGUGAGCAGCUUGAGCUCUGGUUUGGAAUAACACUGAGUUCACAGGCCCUUCCUCAUCUCCUUUGCUGUGUGAUUCAGUCAGCCGAUGAACACUAUUUAUCUCAGUAUUUUCAUCUGUAAAAUGGAAAAUCUCAAGAAAUCUUAGAGUUCCUAGACUUAAACUUGCAGUAUAGCAGAGGGUGACCUUACAUUCCUGACUCUCUUGCCCUCAUGUCCACGACGUGCUGGGUGAUCUGACCUGGUGCUGUUGUUAACAAUCACAAACGGUUCUCUGUCAACAGUCUUCCUAGUUUUAAAACACGACAGUAAGAAUUCUUUCAGAGCUGAGCCUUUAGGCAUUGGUACUCCUUGGGCUGAGUGACCCCCACCCUGAAACACUGGACCAGAGAUCAUGAGCAUGAAAAAUGCCUAAGUGUGGUUCCCGCAUCACUGCUGCCUGUGGAGUGUCUGCUACCCAAGUCUCUGCCAUCCUUAUCCCUGCCCUUUCUGUGGCUUUGGAGAAAGUGCAUUUCCUUCCAUGUCUGCGGUGUGAUCUAUACUCAACUUCCAACGAAACAAAGACUGUCACAUCUGACCUCCGGAGCUCUUUCAGUUCCUCUUUUCCAGAUUCUAAUUAACUUAAAGGAGUGGAGACUAAAGAAAAAAUUCAAUGUGGUCUUAAGGAAAGCUAAGACACAAACUUGUAUUUGAGCACUGCUUCUAUGUACACAGACCAUGAUUUUGUGAGUUACUUGAAUUUUUUGAGGUUCCUUUUAAUCCUCUACUAUUGAAUGAAUAGUGAACUCCAAGCAUUACACUGUACCUGAUGCUCCUGGUUGCACACUAAGGGCUGAAUAGAAGAAGAAUUCUAUUGGCAAUGGAGAGAAGCUGGAAGGGCUUGCACUAAGGAAGAAUUCACAGCUCUCACUAGCAAGAAGUCCAGGAUGAAAAACUUAGAAAUUAUCCCUGUUCUACCUAAAAAGCAGACAUGAGAAUGCUCAAAGCAUCAGCACUAUAGCAGAACUCACCAUAGGAGUUUCUGCUGCCGGAAACAUAUCUAUGUUAUCUGACCUAGACAGACUGAUCUUGUCGUGAGAGAGUGAGGAGAACUAGCAGAUGAAAUGACCAAAGUAUCCCACUCAUCCCCAGAGAACUGUGACUUCAGGAAAUGACUGGAAACCAAAGGUAUGCAAAUACUGCUUUACUUACACAUGUUUCAAAGGUAAAUGUUGGAAACAGAUGAGACACCUGAUAGCCCACUUAAUUAGAUUGGGAACUUAUUGAGGCAGAAUUUAAGAGCUGUUUACAAUGGGAUCUUUUUGACAUUGUGUAGUGGAAGAGGAUUGAGCUAUAGGACAUGGGUUGAGAAGGAAACAGUGGGUAGGGUAGGAAUAGAAACAUUUAGUUUGUUCAUGGUUCAUAAGGGUGUCUUGUCUACUCACUUCUUGCUUUCUAGGGUGAGUGAGUAGCUAGGGAGAGAUGAUGUAUGCCAGGCUUUUAAAGCUGUAGGUGCUCAUGGACUCAAGGGCUCUUGUUAGACUUCUGAUUCAGUAUUUCUGGGCUGGGCCCUGCAUUUCUAAGAGGUUCUUUGAUGCUGUUCUUGUUCCUUGCAUCACACAUUGACUUCAGCCUAUGGGUUAAAAACUAGCAUUAUAAUUAGUUUCUGAAUCAGUAAAUGUGGUGGUUUGAAUGUGCUUGGCCCAGGGAGGAGUGACACUAUUGGGAGGUGUGGCCUUGUUGGAGUAGCUGUGGCCUUGUUGGAGGAAGGGUAUCACUGAGGGGGUGGGUUUUAAGGCCCUCCUCUUAGCUGACUCAGUCUCCAGACUGAGCACAUUUCUCCAUCUCUAGUUGCCUCUGACGUCUGUGGGAAUUUUUCCUCUCUGGGUUGCACAAUCCCAUUGUGAAGUGCACCACUUUCUGUUUGUGCCUCGCUAUGGCAAUAAUUUCCUAUCCAUGUUUUGGAUUGUCCAGAGAAACAAAUUUAGACUACACAUGGACAUUGACUCCUGUUUGCAGGCCACUUCAUCCAUUUGGCCUGGGAAUGCAACACUCUAUGAAGCUUGUCUCAUCUGAGCCUUUCUUUGCUAGAGUAUUUUGUUUGUUUUGCUUUGUUUUCUAUAAUGAAUUUCUUGGAGGAGGAAAUACAACUGAUCUUUUGUUUAUUUAUCUUUUAAAAAGUUGGCCUUUUAAAAAGAUGAGGACUUCUACAGAAAAGUGUCCCAGAUGCUUGGACACGGUGGCACACUCUUCUAUUGCUAGUGCUCUGGAGGAGUACCACAGCAGUUCCUAGCACUUAGUAGGUACUGAAUCAAGGAACCCUGUCUCUAAACAAACAAAUAGCAAAGGAAAAGGUGAAUCAGAAGAAAAGCUAUAACUCAUACUGGCAAAUGAUUUAGAUAUCUGACAGAAGACAUAGAUGGAAGGACAAUGUACCACAGCCACCAAAACCAAGGAGGGUAAGGUAAGUGAUUGGGAGCACAGAUUCUGGAAGUCUAACAUGCCCACAUGGGCUCAGAGGAGAAUGAGAAACAGCAGAAGCAAUCACCAAAACGUAAGUGAAAGUUGAGAUUUCUGAACUGUGGGGAUGGUAGUUUUCUGGUAAGAAGAGUUGAGUCGGAGACAGGAUUAAGGUUACAAAUCUAACAAAAUCAAAUAAAAACAUACAACCAGACAUGCUCAGGAAGCUCCUGAACAUUCAGCAAAGAUGACACUGGAUUUGCUGCAGGGUCUCCUCUUUCAAUUGCUACACCAUCUUCCCUAACUACCGUCAUUCAUAUUCAACGAUACUGAUGUGGGGGUGCUAAGGACUAGACUUCAUGUCACAGAAUUUCAAACCCCGUUACCACAAGGCUAACUGUGGCAUCUGAGAACACUGUGCCUCAGCAAUGCACUUCCCUCUCCAUAGUCUUGCUUGCUCAUUCCUUACCAGCACCAAUCCCAAGAACACCAUUCGGUGAAACUUCUGCAGGCAAAUUCUCAUUUCAGGAAGCCAAGGAAACCUGGCCUAUGGUUCUAAGUACAAAGUUUCUGAAAUCCCCAAACCAAACCAAAGCCCAAAACUGCCCCCUAAACCCCCAUCCCCUAAACCAGUGCUGUUUUCUGAUGGAGACAUGGAAUUAGUGAGUAAGGAAGGGAUGUUAGAUAGGUUUUAUACUUGGGUAUAACUUUGUAAUCUGAAAGGCAUUAAAACUGCAUGCAAUGAAAGCUAAUGGUAGUAAAAUAACAAAACACAUGAGAAGAGUUUUGACUAAAAAGAAACGUAAAUGUUAAAAUUUUUACUCAGUUCAAAGGAAAAAGGUUUGGAGUAGGUGAGACAUAAUAGUGUAUGCUACUUGUACCAUCAUUCUGACAGAAACGCCACAAGACAUCUUCAUGAGAUCUAAAUAAAUAAAGAUCAACAGGAAUGGAAACCAUGAACUACAAGGAGAAUUCAGAGUUCUAGAGCAAGGGUAGAUUACUGGACACAAGAAUGCUUUGUUGAAAUUAAAGGCUAUGUGAUAUGUAGGAGAAGAAAGUGCUGUGAAAGUAACGUCAUUUGUUAGUUAUUGUUUUGAUAAGGAGAGUGGACAUUAACUUUAACAGUUAAUGGUCAGAGAACAAUCCAAAAUGAUUGUUCUAUAAAAUUGCCAGAAAGAAUAAAAGACCAGCAAAAUGAACGACCAACCAAUCAAAACAACAACAACAACAACAAAAAAUAAAACAAGUAGGACUGAGAAUACAAGUUGGAGAAAUGAAAUAGUCAUAUGUAAUGUAAAUGAAUAUAAUUCUCUAAGAAAUGUCAGAUUGGGUUGAAAGCAGAAUUUAGCUAUAUGCACUAGAUUCAUAGCUGUGACAAGAUGAAAUAUGAAGAAACGUUGGACAAAGGUUUCCUCCAUGAUUGUGCCUGCUAACAAAAGCGAAGCGAGAAACAUUCAAGUUCAAAAGGAUCUGAACACAGAUCUAAUCCUUUCAAAAUGUCCACAAAAGGUAGUGUUACGAUUUAAGGAAUAACUCACUGAGGAUGCUUGGUAGUCACAAAACAGUGAAUAAUAUGGCAACCUGAUAUGAAAAGUUUCAUGUCAAGAACCAGAAUAACAUAUUGUUGGGACCAUUUUAUCAAACAUUUUAUGAACUGGAUAGACCAAGCAAAGCAUAUGGGCAUACUGAAGUUGAGCACAAUGGUCCAUUGUCUGGACUGCGCACAAGACAAAAAUACAUGCAAACAUGUAUGUAUGCAUCACCACACCUUGUGCUCGUGAAGCAUUUGUAGAAGUUAAUAGUUAUUUUGACAUACCUAAAAACCUAAAUAAUAAUUUGAUUAGCAUUGUUACAGGCUGCUUCUCUGAUCAUAGUCCAGGAAAGCUAGAAAUGGAUAUAAAAAUCUGACAAAUAUUUCAUAAAGUUAACAAGUAUGGUUUUAAACAAUUCUUGGAUCCAAUAAGAAAGUUAUAAAUUAGUGUCUGGGGAACUAGCUUGGAGGUGUAAAGCACUGGCUGCAGAUGACUUGGGUUUGAUGUCCAGCACCUUCAUAGCAGCCAACCAGUUCUAGGAAAUCUGAUGAUUUGGGCUCUACGGGGCCUGGGAAAAUGUACACACCCCACAUGAACACAAACGUAUACACACAACUGAUUUAAGAAUAAAAUAACACUUUAAAUGUCCAAAGCAAAUUAAAAGGUAACUAAAUAAAGCAGGAAUGUGGAGGAUGAAAUUAAUGAAGACAAAAGUUAAAACUAGAAAGCAAACAUGAAAGGAAGCAAAAUUAAAAUUGUACUCCCUAAAAGUGUUAAUGAGCUAUAUAUAAUCAUGGUGAGCUUGAUUAAGGAGAAAGAGAAAGAAACUAAAAUAAAUACGACUUUAAUAUGGAAAAUGUAAUACCAAGUAAAGAGAAAAUAAAAUUUAUGGUGAUAUUAUAUGCAACUGUUCUAGACAUAAUUAUAAAUAUAAAGAG
rnacentral:sRNA from 1 species